UACAGAGGUCUCAAGCGUUGUUCGGAUUCAUUGGGCGUAAAGGGUGCGUAGGCGGCGUGGUAAGUCGGAUGUGAAAUCUCGGAGCUUAACUCCGAAACUGCAUUCGAUACUGCCGUGCUUGAGGACUGGAGAGGAGACUGGAAUUUACGGUGUAGCGGUGAAGUGCGUAGAUAUCGUAAGGAAGACCAGUGGCGAAGGCGGGUCUCUGGACAGUUCCUGACGCUGAGGCACGAAGGUCAGGGGAGCAAACGGG
rnacentral:rRNA from 1 species